AGCCUUUUGUAUCAGUGCUGAGAUUUCGUUACACAUCAGACCAAAAAGACUGAUGACACUUCCAAGAUAAGUGAAGCA
rnacentral:pre_miRNA from 1 species